AUUGAACGCUGGCGGCAUGCUUUACACAUGCAAGUCGAACGGUAACAGCACUUCGGUGGCUGACGAGUGGCGAACGGGUGAGUAAUACAUCGGAACGUGCCUAGUAGUGGGGGAUAACUACUCGAAAGAGUAGCUAAUACCGCAUGAGAUCUAAGGAUGAAAGCAGGGGACCUUCGGGCCUUGCGCUACUAGAGCGGCUGAUGGCAGAUUAGGUAGUUGGUGGGAUAAAAGCUUACCAAGCCGACGAUCUGUAGCUGGUCUGAGAGGACGACCAGCCACACUGGGACUGAGACACGGCCCAGACUCCUACGGGAGGCAGCAGUGGGGAAUUUUGGACAAUGGGCGCAAGCCUGAUCCAGCAAUGCCGCGUGCAGGAUGAAGGCCUUCGGGUUGUAAACUGCUUUUGCACGGAACGAAAAGCCCUCUUCUAAUACAGGAGGGUCAUGACGGUACCGUAAGAAUAAGCACCGGCUAACUACGUG
rnacentral:rRNA from 1 species